rnacentral:rRNA from 1 species
CACGUAGGCGGCUUGGUAAGUCAGAUGUGAAAGCCCGGGGCUUAACCCCGGAAGUGCAUUUGAUACUGUCAAGCUUGAGUAUGGGAGAGGGAAGUGGAAUUCCUGGUGUAGAGGUGAAAUUCGUAGAUAUCAGGAGGAACACCGGUGGCGAAGGCGACUUCCUGGACCAAUACUGACGCUGAGGUGCGAAGGCGUGGGUAGCAAACAGGAUUAGAUACCCUGGUAGUC